AUUUGUGCUCUCGGUUCUUUACCAGCAUCUAACUUUUCAGAAUUUCCAAACGUUUACUCAAGAGGAAGGGAAAUAGAAUUAGAAAGAGAUGGGAUAUUGGGGAGAGCAACUGUUGUCGGAAGAGGGAAGCAUGAAGCGGCGGCGGCGUGCCAACCGCUGCUGCCUGGCACGGUGGCGGCUACGGCAGCCGUUUCUGCCGGCCGGAGAAAGAAGAGGGCGCCGGAUCUGGAAGAAGAGGCGGCAGCUUCGGCCUCGCCGAUGGCUGUUUGGCUAAGGAAAAGAAAGAAGUAAGGGGGCAGCGCCGGGCUGGAGGAGAUGGCGUCGGGUGUAGCGGCGGCUACGGCUGGCUUCUCGCCGGAGUAUGGGGCGGCGUCGGUGCUCUUCGCCAAGGGCUGUCUGGCCGAGAGAGAGAGAGAGAAGUCGAGGGAGAGUGCGAGGCUGAGAAAGAGAGGGGUCAGGGAGAGAGAGAGAGAGAGAGGUCGGGGGAAAGAGAGGGGUUGCUGGGCGGCGCCGGGAAGGUUGAGAGAGGAGAGAGGGUGAGCUAGGUUGUGUGCGUCAGUGCGUGUGUGUGUGCUGAUUGAAGGAGAGUGAGUGAGAUGAGAUUUAGAGGGUGUAUUCGAUCAGGAUUUUAAUAGAUUUCUACAGAUUUUUAAAAUCUUGGUGUAUUCGAUCAAAACUUUUAAAAGUCUAUGAAAAUCUAUAGGUAUUCGUUCGAGACUUUUAAAAUUCUAUAAAAAUCCAGAGGUAUUCGUUUCAAACUUUUAAAAAUCUAUGAAAAUCUAGAGACAUUUAAAAAUCUAUGGAUUUUAAAAUUUGACUGAUUUUCAUUGAUUUCAUUCAAAAAAUACACAUGAACAAAUUCGACCUCCGACCACGAGAAUUCGGAAGAUUUCAUAUUUCAGCGUCGGCUAGGUUCCAGCGGCCGUGGCUCGAAAAAGCCAACGGCCGCUGGCACCCAGCGCUCGCUGGGCCCGAUGGAGAAUUGGUGUGGAGGGUUUCCGCCAUUGAUGCAGGCUUGAGCUUAAAACAGAGCCCAUCUCAUUAGCGUAAGUCAUCUCCAAGAAAACCCUUCUGUAAGUAAAUUAAACAAAUGAGUGAAUUAUAAUUAUAUUCAAUAAUGUGCUUCACAAGGAAACCCUUUCUGUAAGUAAAUUAAACAAAUGAGUGAAUUAUAAUUAUAUUCAA